GUGGGGCUGGGGCUCAGCGGUUGAGCACUGGUCUCGAGUGUGUGAGGCACUGGGUUCGAUCCUCAGCACCACA
rnacentral:tRNA from 1 species